GCCCAGUUGUCCGCAUGAUUCUUCAGGCCCUCCAUGACCGUCUGUUUUCAGAUCUGAGGCUGAAGGAGGAAGCACUUACCUCAGCUUCCGGAAGUAUACAAAAACUCCACUGCCUGCUGGAAGGAGGAGUUAAACACCUGAUUGGCAGAGAGUACAGAAUGUGGUCCACAGUUCUCCUGGUAAACAUCAAAAGUAAUAAACAUGGAGACAGCA